rfam:Paenibacillus wynnii strain DSM 18334 unitig_3_1r, whole genome shotgun sequence.
AGCGCCUUUAAUUCAGUCCCGUGAGGCUGGCAAGGUAACGUGAAUCGAGGUUCGCGACUCUUAGAAGAGUAUCCGUAUGUAUACGGAUAAUCUUUUUAUGCGCGCGGCCACGCCAUCUUUCUUAAUUCUGCGGAUUUCACUCCUUGCCUACCUUGGGCAAGGAGUUUUUUGUU